rnacentral:rRNA from 1 species
GAGACGAAACAGUGAUGUGGAGUAAAACUUAUAAAAGCGACCUCAGUUCGGAUUGAAGGCUGAAAUUCGCCUUCAUGAAGUCGGAAUUGCUAGUAAUGGCAGGUCAGCAUACUGCCGUGAAUACGUUCCCGGGCCUUGUACACACCGCCCGUCACACCAUGAGAGUUGGAGAUACCCGAAGCCUAUGAGCUAACUUUUAGAGGCAGUAGUCGAAGGUAGAAUCAAUGAUUGGGGUGAAGUCGUAACAAGGUAUC